UGUCUACUGAGAUGUUCGUGAUUGACGUUAAAAAAAGCCCUUGAGCCUUAGAUACUUACCUCGGGUUCUGGAAGGUAGAUUGUGUGCAUGACUGCUUGGUAUUUGCCAGCGGUAAGCCUGAUAAAUACCCGUAUGAACCCACUUGAACUUUCCGGUUCAAGGUUAAUUAACUCAACACGGCAACCUUGGUGGCAUC
rnacentral:other from 1 species